rnacentral:rRNA from 1 species
UACAGAGGUCUCAAGCGUUGUUCGGAUUCAUUGGGCGUAAAGAGCACGCAGGCGGUUUGGCAAGUCGGAUGUGAAAACCCGAAGCUCAACUUCGGGCGUGCAUCCGAAACUGCCCGACUAGAGGUAGGUAGGGGAGAUCGGAAUUCCUGGUGUAGCGGUGAAAUGCGUAGAGAUCCCCAAGAACACCAGUUGCGAAGGCGGCCGACUGGACACAUAUUGACGCUGAGGCUCGAAAGCAUGGGGAGCAAACAGG